AACGAACGCUGGCGGCAUGCCUAACACAUGCAAGUCGAACGAGACCUUCGGGUCUAGUGGCGCACGGGUGCGUAACGCGUGGGAACCUGCCCUUAGGUUCGGAAUAACUCCCCGAAAGGGGUGCUAAUACCGGAUAAUGUCUUCGGACCAAAGAUUUAUCGCCUUUGGAUGGGCCCGCGUUGGAUUAGCUAGUUGGUAGGGUAAAAGCAUACCAAGGCGACGAUCCAUAGCUGGUCUGAGAGGAUGAUCAGCCACACUGAGACUGAGACACGGCCCAGACUCCUACGGGAGGCAGCAGUGGGGAAUAUUGGACAAUGGGCGAAAGCCUGAUCCAGCAAUGCCGCGUGAGUGAUGAAGGCCUUAGGGUUGUAAAGCUCUUUUACCCGGGAUGAUAAUGACAGUACCGGGAGAAUAAGCUCCGGCUAACUCCGUG
rnacentral:rRNA from 1 species